rnacentral:misc_RNA from 1 species
AGAUGAGUCCCGACGAUGAUGAUGCUUGCUUGGCAUGCUAUAGCCCCUCCUUGGUAGCAUGCUAUUGACAAGUAUCCGUCCCGAUUGCUAGGUGUACGUUGGAUUGGUGUGGUGCGGCCCGUUGCGAUUUCGUGUCGGUUUGCUGAAAUUGUCGGAGCAUUCUCCCGUCGAUGUGCAGUAACCUGCGUAGUGACAAGGUAUCCUAUGGAUCGAUGUGGCACGGGUAGGGGAAAAUCUCGAUUGGAGUUGCGAGGCGUUGACGCGGCCUUGACGGAGUUUUAUUCCGUGUUGGUUUGCUGAAAUUGUCGGAGCAUUCUCCCGUCGAUGUGCAGUAACCUGCCUUGUGACAAGGUAUCCUAUGGAUCGAUGUGGCACACGUAGGGGAAAAUCUCGAUUGGAGUUGCGAGGCGUUGACGCAGCCUGGACGGAGUUUACCUUCGUGUCGUGCGACAUCAUGGUUUUUGUGUUUCUCGUACCGUUCGGUGCAUUUCGGGAGCUUCUUCGUGCUCGUAGUUGUUUGCCUGGUUUUCGUGCCGGGUUUGUGGCUACUUGUGUGGGUCGUUUCAUGGAAUGAAUAUUGUAAAGGUGCAUGAGUGGUGCUUGGUGUGUUGCUGGUGGUUGGAUGACUGCAUUCGCAGCAACGUCCAUUGGGGCAUACCUCUUCAUUUACGGCGAACGGUUUUUUCGCAACCGGGAGCAUUUGUUGGGUUUUCCUGUGCUGUGUACCUACUUUAGGGCAUGCUAUCGGUUGGUUAAUGUGGAUUUUCAUUCAACGUCACUCGCGUGGCGUGGUUUGAACUAGAACUGGCCCCUCUAUGAUCCGUGUCUUUGACGCAUUAUGUUUUUGGCAUGGCCCAUUGGGUGUGGCUUGGUUUUUUGGAUACGGAACCUUAUGUGGGCAUGGGGUCGCCUUAGCGACCCCGCCUUUGCCCUCGUCAAGCGUUCUUGCUUCAAAAAAACAACACGCGGUCGUGCAUCGACUUGUUCGAU